UACGUAGGGUGCGAGCGUUGUCCGGAAUUAUUGGGCGUAAAGAGCUCGUAGGCGGUGUGUCACGUCGGCCGUGAAAACCUGCAGCUUAACUGUGGGCCUGCAGUGGGUACGGGCAGACUGGAGUGCGGUAGGGGAGAAUGGAAUUCCUGGUGUAGCGGUGAAAUGCGCAGAUAUCAGGAGGAACACCGGUGGCGAAGGCGGGUCUCUGGGCCGAUAUUGACGCUGAGGAGCGAAAGCGUGGGGAGCAAACAGG
rnacentral:rRNA from 1 species